rnacentral:lncRNA from 1 species
ACCCAUGAACACACAAAAAGAAGAAGAAGAAAAAGAAAAGACACUUGAGAAAAUAAACUGAAAAUCACAUGAUUCAUCACAAAAUAAAAAAAAACAGGGGAAAAAAGGAGAUAAAAAUAAGGACGAGAGAGCUCCCAAGAACACAUUAAAACGCAUUCUUAUUUCUAAUUACUACUCAAAAAGCUCUCGUCGUCGUCGUCG